UUUUUUUUUUUUUUUUUUUUUNCCCAAAAUAUACGGAAGUUUCUGGGCCAAGGAUUGAAGCUGAGCCAUGAAUGUGACCUAUGCCACAGUUGUAGCUGCAGCAACACCAGAUCCUUAAUCCGCAAUGCUGGGCCAAUUCUUCAUGCUGUGUAGAAUUGAACCAGUGCCUCCACAGUGACCCAAGCCUCUGCAGUCAGAUUCUUAACCCACUACACCAUGGUGGGAACUCCAAGGAGGAUCUUUUCUUAACUCUUGCAGGUUCCAGUGGCUCCAUUCAUUCCUUGACUUAUAACUCCAACCUCUGCCUCUGUCUUCACAUAGCCUUCUCCUCUGUGUCUUUCUCCUCAAGUUUCUUUAAUAAGGACACUUGUCAUUGGAUUUAGGAUGAUCUCAUUUGAAGAUCUUUAACUUAAUUACAUCUAUAAAAAUGCUUUUCCAAUAAGUACCAUUUCACAAUAUCUAGGGAUCUGGUGUGGACAUAUCUUUGGGGGUAAAACCCGCUACAAAUACAAAAGCAAUUUCUACCCUAAUAUUGAAUGCCAUUUACUAAGUGAACAUGCUUUGUGAUUUUCAGAAAUUAUAGGAUAACAUUUCUGUUUUAAGUGUUAAACUUUGCAGUUAGAUAACUACUAUAUAAUGCUACAUCUUUUUGAUGCAAGAAAAAAUUGCAUUGGACUGAAUUUGUAAUGUUAUCAUUUCAUGCAUCAACUGUCUAUAAGCUCUCAUCAUUGUAAAACCAUUUUCCACUUUGCUAAAAUGGAUUGGCUGCAAGAUACUCUAAAAAAAAUCGUAUGUCUCUUAGGGGACUACUCUUAUAUUCAUGUAUAUCAAUCACGGUUAUUCUGAACUCUGAUUUUAUACCAGACUUCCCUUUUUUCCCCCACUAAUGUAUUCAGAACCCAUCUCUGAGGUACAGAUUAAAGUUCUAAAACCUACUUGCUGUUGUGAAACUGAUGAGCUAUUCAUGGAAGCUGCUUGAUCAGAGUAAAAGAUCUAGUGAAGUAGGUGUGGGAAAUCAUUCUCAAAAUCAUACCUGUCCGUAAUUGGCAUCUAGAUUUCUCACAAAUUAUUUACACAUUAAAAAAAAUGGUAUGUUGGAAUGAUUUGCCUAUGUAGUGAAAGAGUUGUUUAUAAUUAGAAGUUUUACAUUUAUUUAUGUAUUUUAAUAAACCAUUCAGCAUAAUAUUUUUGUGCCUGCAUAGAUACAAUCUGCACAGUACCUUUGGCAUAUCAUUUAUGUGAGCAACCCUUUCUGCCUGGGUCAUUUUAUGAGAUAUAUUUGUAAAGUGAGGAUUUGUGAACUGUGUAUUAAAUUGGUGGUAAAGUGUUAUAAUCAUUAUAUUACUUAAUUUAAUAUAAAUAACUGGAAAGGGCUGCAUAUGUCUAGAAGAAGGUACAGAUUUAUUUUAUCUCUUUAUAAUGAAAAUGGAGACAGUUACUUACUAGAAUAUGUUACAAAGACUACAUGGAAUUAUUCAGACUUGUAUUUUAAAGUAACUAACAUUGAAUAGAACUGCAAAUAUGUGGAAACUGUUGUAAGGAAUAAGUAUAGUAGGUCGGGAUUUGUAAAAAAAAAAUGAGCUGUUCUGAAAAUUAUUGAACGUUGUCCAUUUACAACAUGCUAAUAGCUGUGAAUCAAAAGACGUAUACAUCAAAUGGAUUAAAGUUAAAAUUGUAUCAGAAUGGGAUCCCUCUUCUCAAUAGGGAAUUAAAGGGUGUUCCAUGGAGCCACCGUUACUACACCUAAUGUACCUUUUUGUCUUACGUCUAGAGUUCUUUCCUUUCUAACCAAUUCAUGAUAGCUAUGUUCUCUUUUUUACAGUUCAGCAGAAGAGCAGUUUCACUGGCAAUCACAAGAUGGUCAAAAAGAUAUCGAAGAUGAGCUUACAACAGGUCUUGAACUGGUGGACUCUUGUAUUAGAUCACUGCAGGAAUCAGGAAUACUUGACCCACAAGACUAUUCAACAAGUGAACGUAAGUCAAAUGACAAUUAAGUUUGAAGAUAAUUAAUAUAUAAGAGCAUUAUAUGGUUAAUAUCAAUAUUAAUAUACUAAUUCUUAAUGUAAUAAUAUUCAUAUCAUGAUCAGUAUCUUUAGGAUUUCAAGAUUUGUUUAUACUCAUUUUAUCCAUUUCACUCUGCUUUUAUCUACUUUCUUCCUGCAUUACUCCACACUAAUUCCUAUUUGGUUGUAAACUAUCUUAAGUCAGUAAUUGGCAUCUGGAUUUCUCACAUUUAUUGGCAUAUUGGUGAUUCUCAGCAAUUUUCUGAUAUCCCUUUUGGCAUUUAAACUAGCACAUUGUAUGAACUCACCAUUUAGUUGUUUAAUCAACACUAUGUCUGCCUUAAAAUUAACUGUCAGUGCUUUUUUAAAACAUAUUAUUGUUGGUCAAGGUUUUAAACAGUGGAACAAUUAUAUUACAAAAUAGAAAAAAAAGUUGUAAUAUAUACAGUACUCUUUAGUACUAUGCCAUAGUAUUAUGCAAUAAUUCCUUACAUUUCUAUAUUUAGCUAACUUACAUGGCUAUAUUAAUCCUAAUAGAAUGUUUAAAGAUUUCUUUCUUUCUACUUAAUUAUAUAUUUUUCAACCAGAGUGGUUAGAAAUAAAAGAUCUAUGAGUUGAAAUGAGCCUCACUUUAAUAAAUCAUAAAAUUCUCUUGACCUAUUUUAAUAAAAUUCCACAAAAAGCUAAAAAUUAAAUCAUUAAAACAUACAUUACCUUGAUAAUUUCUACAUCAGAAAUCAGUGGAGCAUAUUAUUCCUUAAUUUAAAAAAAUAAAAUUUCCUUGAAUAGCCAUCAAGGUUUGCUAUAUAAAAAAAAGAUAUAAGAAUAAGAUAGCAUUGUAAUCUUAAAACCAUUGAAUUUACAUAUUAGUUCAUUUUGUUCGUGAUCUUUAUGACACCACUACUUUUACAGUGGCAUCAUCAUGAAAAUCCAUAUUUAUUUUAAUCCAUAUGUAUCCCUCAAUAAAACUACAAAAGAGGCAUGAUUUAUAUUAUAGUUUUUUUUGUAUUUUAUAGUUUAAAAUGAAAGUUGUUACCCCUUCUUUCUUAAAGUCUAUAGAUACAUUUCUUUUGUAGAGGUAGUUGUAGUUAGAACUAUAUUUAAUUAAUAUUUGAAUCACAUGUACUCAUUUUAUUAGAGAGUAAGGAAAGCAGAUAUAGAAUAAUGUGUCAAGGGGAUAAUAUUUGCUGUCUUAUUUUUCAUAUAAUAAUAGAGAAGUAUAUUUUAUUAUGAUUUGGGGGAUAACGAUUUUCAUGGAAAGUACAGAUGAAAGAAAGUGUACAUUAAGAAGAAAACAAAUUAAAAUAGAAAUGAUAAAGCAAGUGUAUCAAUCUGGCACUACAUGCAAGCGCACUGAAUUCUUUGAAAAGAAUAAAAAUUCUAAUUUGUAGUAAACAGAUGAAAUACUGAUGUUACGUUUAGUACACACAUUAAUGAAAAUUAAUGUUGACGUUAAAAGAAUAGACAAAAUAGUGACAGCAAAUACAAUGAACACAAAGAGUGGGAUUGGGAAGAAUAAUGUGAAAUGAAGUGGAAUUUAAUGCAAAAGCACUAAGAAGGGUCAAAAAGGAAUUAUAUAGUGAAAUAUGUUAAUUUAUAAUUAUGUUAAAAUCUCUGAACAUGUAUGCACCAAACAACAUAGCACUUAAACAUUAAAAAUUACUAAAAAUGAAACAAGUUGAUGAAAAAUAUUAUGAACAUUUCUCAGAAUUAGACUACUAGAAGAAUAAGCCCCAGAAUGUUGGAAUAAAUAAUUAACAAAUCAAUGCAUUAUAUUAAUUUUAAAAGUUUUUUUGAGUAAUAAUGAACAUUAGUUAUGUCUGGCCAAGGAGAACUUAUAAAAACUGACCAGCUAAUGAACUAUAAAGACAAUUCUAAAAGUUAAAAAGUAUGGAAAGACCACAUUCCUUGAUAAUAAUCCAGCAAAAGUAAAAGUAAAUAAUAUAAUGAUAAGCAAAAAUAUAAUCACAUUAAAAUUAGGAUACAUACUUUUGGAUCUACAGAAUCAAAAUGGAAGCACAAGGAAAAUUACAAAGCAAAUAAAAUAGCAACAUUUUAUAAUGAAAAUAUAGUGGUAUGGUAGGAAACUGCACUCAGAGGAAAUCAUAAUUUUAUUCUUAAAAAUAAUACACCGGGAGUUACCAUUGUGGCUCAGCAGUAACGAUUCCAACUGGGAUCCAUGAGGAUGUGGGUUUGAUCCCUGGCCUGGCUCAAAGGGUUAAGGGUCUGGUGGUGGUAUGAGCUGUGGUAUAGGUCACAGAUGAAGCUCGGAUCCUACAUUGCUGUGGCUGUGGCAUAGGCUAGCAACUGCAGCUCCAAUUUGACCUCUAGCCUGGGAACUUUUCUAUGCCAUGGGUGCGGCCCUAAAAAGAAAAAUAAAAUAAAAUAAAAGACAAAAUAAAGGAUGGUGUACUGAUUUGGGGAACACUAAAAAGAACUAAAUAAACCAAAAGAAGCUAGAAAGAUGGAAAUAAUAAUAAAAGCAAUGCAAAGAUAAAGUAAUAUAAAAUAAAAAAGUAGAAGAGACAAAUAAAUACUAGAAGAGACAAAUAAAAUAGAAAGGAUAAAUACAUGAACUUUUUAAAAACCUCAAGUCAACUAACAAUCCUGAACUUUUGAAAUUGAAACACUCUGAGAAACAGAGAAACAGAAACACAAAAGAAACAGAAAGAAUUUUUAGUGUUCAUUUUUAUUUCUGCAAAAUUCAAAGAUUACCUACAAGGGAUGUAUCUUUAUUAUAGGAAAAUUACAUGCUUCAGUAAGAUUUUUUGAAAUACCUUUGCUAAUAGCUGAAUUUUUUUCAUUUUUAGAAAAAUUAGGUAGGUUAUGUUACUAUGUACUGAAUUAUCUUUUCAAAGAUUCCUAGGAUUUUAGUUAUUUGAUCUUUUGGUAGGCCCUGAUUCCUUAUUUGAA
rnacentral:lncRNA from 1 species